rnacentral:rRNA from 1 species
AUGGGCGAAAGGGAAUACCCAGCCACGGGGGAAAUGUGAUGAAGGCAUUCGGGUCGUAUAGCAGAAGGGGAGAGAGGAAUACAAGCGCAUCAGGAAAGGAAGAGGAAGGACGGUACCUCAGGAACAAGCAUCCGGCGAACUCUGUGCCAGCAGCCGCGGUAACACAGAGGAUCCGAGCGUUGCUCGGAUUUACUGGGCGUAAAGCGCGUGUAGGCGGACUGGCAAGUUGGGUUGUGAAAUCCCUGGGCUCAACCUAGGGAGGUCAUCCGAAACUGCCUUGUCUUGAGUAAUGCAGAGGGAGGCGGAAUUCCCGGUGUAGAGGUGAAAUUCGUAGAUAUCGGGAGGAACAUCAGUGGCGAAGGCGGCCACCUGGACACACCUGACGCUCAGACGCGAAAGCUAGGGGAGCAAACAGGAUUAGAUACCCCGGUAGUCCCAGCCGUAAACGAUGAGCAUUAGGUGCAGCGGGGUCAACCUCAGCAGUGCCGGAGCUAACGCGAUAAAUGCUCCGCCUGGGGAGUACGGUCGCAAGGCUAAAACUCAAAUGAAUUGACGG